GUUGUCUCUAUGUAGCCUCAGCUGCCCUGGAACUUGUUAUAUAGACCAGGUUGACUUCAAAUUCACAGACAUCUGACUGCAUGUACCUUCUGAGUGCUGUGAUUAAAUGCCACCAUACCUGGAUCCAACCCUGAGCCUUGAGUAUGCAAGGCAAGUUCACGCUAUCACUGGAAAAGAAAUCUGAUUUGAGGACAAAGAUAAAAUACCAUCACUUUGCAAGAAAUCCUAGGAAUUCAAAUUCAAAUCAGAGG